GCGCCUGUGGCUUAAAGGAGUAGGGCGCUGGCCCCAUAUGCCAGAGGUGGUGGGUUCAAACCCAGCCUGGGCCA
rfam:Otolemur garnettii contig036261, whole genome shotgun sequence.